UCAGAGUGCCACGGUGUUCAGAAUGUACUUGUCCUCAUCUGUUCUCAAAAGUUAAGCAGGAUCAAGCUUGGUUAGUAUUUAGAUGGGAGACCUCUUGGGAAUAACAGGGCUAUAAC
rnacentral:rRNA from 1 species